UACGAAGGGUGCAAACGUUGCUCGGAAUUAUUGGGCGUAAAGGGUGCGUAGGCGGCGCGGUAAGUCGGGUGUGAAAUCUUGGAGCUUAACUCCGAAACUGCAUUCGAUACUGCCGUGCUUGAGGACUGGAGAGGAGACUGGAAUUUACGGUGUAGCGGUGAAAUGCGUAGAUAUCGUAAGGAAGACCAGUGGCGAAGGCGGGUCUCUGGACAGUUCCUGACGCUGAGGCACGAAGGCCAGGGGAGCAAACGGG
rnacentral:rRNA from 1 species